rnacentral:rRNA from 1 species
AGAGUUUGAUCCUGGCUCAGGACGAACGCUGGCGGCGUGCUUAACACAUGCAAGUCGAACGGAAAGGCCCUGCUUUUGUGGGGUGCUCGAGUGGCGAACGGGUGAGUAACACGUGAGUAACCUGCCCUUGACUUUGGGAUAACUUCAGGAAACUGGGGCUAAUACCGGAUAGGAGCUCCUGCUGCAUGGUGGGGGUUGGAAAGUUUCGGCGGUUGGGGAUGGACUCGCGGCUUAUCAGCUUGUUGGUGGGGUAACGGCCCACCAAGGCGACGACGGGUAGCUGGUCUGAGAGGACGAUCAGCCACACUGGGACUGAGACACGGCCCAGACUCCUACGGGAGGCAGCAGUGGGGAAUAUCGCGCAAUGGGCGAAAGCCUGACGCAGCAACGCCGCGUGAGGGAUGAAGGCCUUCGGGUUGUAAACCUCUUUCGAGCAGGGACGA